ACCAGGUGACUAAAGGACUUAAUCAACAUACCAGAACCCAUUCUGGUGUAAAACCGUUCCAGUGUCCUCUUUGUUCUUACGACUGUACUAGGAAGGAUAAUUUACGGAAACAUAUCAGAGGAACCCACAAGUACACAGAUGACAGAUUAAAUCAGCUGGAGGCAGCGGAACAGGGGUUCAAGAAAGGAGUGCCUGAAAACUCGCAAUAACCAAAAAUUUCUGGAAUUGUAAUUUAUAAAAGUGGCUUAUGUAGUUGUUGAUUUAAUAGUCAGCUUAGUAAAAUAAAAGAAAUCAAUAAGGUUA